AAGAAUGAAGAUAGGCGCAGGGAAUACAAAAUUCUCUGAAAGUCUGCUGCCUAUGAGGAAGGCUUUCAACAAUACAUUCAUUGUUGCUGGUGGUUAUGACAGGGAAGAUGGAAACAAAGCUCUUGAAGAGAACCGUGGAGACCUUGUCGCUUAUGGUCGCUUGUUCUUGGCAAAUCCAGAUUUGCCGAGGAGAUUUGAACUUGAUGCUCCUCUCAACAACUACAACAGAGAAACAUUUUACACACAUGAUCCUGUUGUUGGUUACACUGAUUAUCCUUUCCUUGAAGCCUCUGCGUAGGGUUUUCAGUCACCGUAGUCGAAACUUGUAUUCUCUAAUUCAUUCAAUUAUUGUUUCUAUGAGUUUAAAUGUUAUAAUUCAAUAAUAAAAGUAGAUUGGAGACCAGCAAUACACAUUUCAGAUUGAACUGGAUACUAUGAAGUAAUACAGUUUUCAAUUACAAUAGAUAUUUGUAAGAAAGAUAAAAAUUUAAGUUAUAAAGAAAAAAAUAGUAUUUUUUAUCCGAAUUUUCCUUUUUGAUUCAUGUAUUUUUUUUAUUUUGACAAAAAUAAAUAUUUUUUUGUUAGUAAUAUGUUUUUAUAAAUAAAAAUUAAAGGCAAUUAAAAUAAAAAUGUAUAAAAAAUCUUAAUAAUUUAAAUUAUGAAAACAAUGUAUAUUUUUCAAUCAAAACGCUUUCUAUAUUCAUGUAUUUUGUUUUUGAUAAAAAUGUGAUUUUUAUUAGAGGUAUAGUUUUUUUUUAAAAAAACAAAUUAUCAUAUUUCAUAAAAAAACAAAAAACAAUCAUGACUCAAUAAUUUUUAUACUUGUAUAAAACAAAUAGAGUAAUUAAUGUGAUGAAAUUAUAUAAAAUAUUUAAAAUAAAAAAUAAAUAUUUUAUUUCCUUUUAAAUAUUCAUUAGUAUAUUAAAAACAAUUUGUGUAUUGGGUUCAUAUAGUAAUUUAUAUUCCCAUAAAAGAUCUAAUAGUUAGAUAAUGUUUUAAGUACAAUUUUAAUAAUUGUUUUUAUAUUGAACUUUAUGCUAAAUUAAAAUAAAUAAUUACAAAGAAAGUUAAAUAGCUUUUUAAAUAGAGGCUAGGGUCUUGGGCUUAAAAGGACAAAUCCACAAGACUAGCUUAAAAAAACAAUUAUAGGUGGAUUUAAAUUUUUUUAUUUGUUUUUUUUAUAGAAAAAAAAUGUUUUUGAGAGCUAUUUUAAAUAAAAUUUGGGUAAAUAAUGUAUCAUCAACUAUGUAAUUUAUGUUACCUCCAAUGAUAAAAAGAAAAAAAAGAAAAAAAAGAAGAAGAAGUAAGGUUUAAGUUUUUAGAUUUUAGAAAUCAAUUUUAAAUUUAUUUUAACCUAAAAUCACCCCAAAAACAUUAAAAGAUUCUUAGGAAACCAUCUUUGACCAUAAAAUACCCUUUGACCAAUUUAGAAUAAAAAAUAAAUGCAAAUAAAAAACUUUUAUGAUUAUCGAUAUACUUUUAUAAUUAUUUAAGGGAGAAAACAAUUUCAUCAAAAUUUCUAUUCAAAGUGAAUCCAUUGACAUUAAAAAUAGUCUUAUUAGUAACUAGAAUGUGGGUAGCUGAAAAGUUUCUCUCUUCUUCUUUUUAUUAAGUGACUUUCUCUCUUAUUUCUUAACAUAUAGUGAUUAAAAUACAAGGAAAAUAAAGUUUCAAAACCAAGAUGCAAACUCUUGAAACUACAUGAACUAAAUAAAUGGAAAAACAAAUUCAGGAAUACUCGAUUAACAAUUGCAACAAUUUGAGUCUUAGGUUAUAAUAGUUAAACAAUUUUGUUUCAUCUGAUAAAAAUAAACCUUUGAAAAUUAAUAGAAAAUAUAAAACAUGGAGUUACAACCUAGUUUUUUUAAAAACUAAGAAUCUUAAAAUAUAGAUUGGUUCCAAAGAUCGUAGAAAGAGAUUGAUUAUACUUAAGGGAAUAUAAAAAUCACAUUUACCAUAUUCCUUUCUGAGAAGAUGUUACUUUAAUUAUGUGUUUCUCCUAUAUUAAUUUUACAUGUUAUUUACUGUCUAAAUUAUAUUCCCAGCUUAUUCACAAAUCGUUUAGUUUUUAUAGAUGCUCAUAAAGUUAAUAUGAGACCAGAAAUCACGAGUCUCGCAACUUGAUGAUUUUAUUUUUAGUUUUUUAUAUAUAUAUUUCUUGACUUUUUUAUCAUCACUAUUUAUUAUUUAUUUUAUUACAAAACAAAGUUGAAAACAAUACUAUGCUUGAUCCGCGUUGGACCCUACUCAAAGGAUACUUGUGGACUUACUAUUGACCUUGUUAUUAGUUUAAAACAUCAUGAUAGGCCCACGUCGACCCUAAAACUUGAAGACACGUCAACUUAACCAUUAAAAUCCAAAUUUAAGCUUAAUAAAAACUUGAUGUUAACUUGACCAAAACUCAUCAACCCAUUAUUAAACUCAUUUUAAGGUUAAAAUAUCAUGUUAGGUCUAUAUCGGUCUCUAAAAACUAAAACACAUCAUCGAUCUAGCUGUUAGGAGUCAAAUUUAAUAAAAAACAUUACUAUACCCAUCAACAUUAUUUUUAUUUUUUGACAAAUAUUUAUAUGCUCAUAUAUAUGUAAAAAUAAAAAAAGAUGCAAUUUUAUAAAAUUAAAUAACAUCAACAUGAAAAAAAUAAAAAAGACAAGAAAGCUAAUCCACUUUAUCCUCUCUUUCUGAAAGUUCCCUCUGGGGGUCUGACCCUCCGCUACCUAAUAUUCCUAACUAAUUGAAUUCAUCAGUCUAUAAGGCUUUUAGUCACUAUGGUCUCUUUCAUCUCGUCCCUUGACCACUUCACCUUCUUUCUUAUUUCUUCUUAUGUUGGUAAAGAUCCAAGCAAUAAGAAUUGUUAUCUUUAAAAGAGAAUAAAUCCAUCUGUCUCCUCAUUAGUCUCAGCAUCAACAGUAGUGCUACUCAUCUCCUCCAACAUAGGAAGGCGAUAAUCCGGGUAGGGCGGCUUUUCGAGAAGCAGAAAGCGGUAAUUUGAUUUCAUACUUUGUUUGGCCUCAUUAAAAAAGUAAAGGGCAGGAGAGGCUGGCCUUCUUUGAUCGGAAAAUGCUGCCAAAAUGGUCAGAAAAAUAAAAUAAACAUGUGUAUUAUUUGCAUUUAUGAAUAGUAAAUAAAAAGGAAGAAAUGAGAGAGAAGAAGUUGCUUUGCAUUAAGGACUUGACUUACCUUGAGGCUAGUUCAAAAUGAGGAAGGAGUUUCUUUGGUGACAAUAAUGGUGUGUAUCAGCAAUGGUGUGGUUCUCGUUCUCGAGUGGUCUUCUCUCUCUACUUCAGGUUUUUAUUUCUCUUAAGAUUUAGCUUUUUUUCUUUGGUUUUUUCUUCUUCUCAUUCUUUUCCCCUUGCUACUAGCCGUUCAGAGCAUCUUUAUAUACCUUUAUUUUCAACCCAAACUCUCUCUCUCUCUCUCCUCUCUCUCUCUAGGUUUAAGCUUUCCUUUCUCUCUAUUUUCUUCUUCUUCUUGUUCCUCUAAUACCAUUUGGAUUAGAUUAAAUUCUUUUUUAUUAGCUCAAACUCUCAUUUAAUCAAUGAACUAAAUUUGUCGGUAAUUCUAUCUAUAAAAAUGACAUGUCAUAUUACUUGUUAGGUUUUUUUUUUUCAUUGUAAUUCUCUUAAUAUAUACCAAGGUAAUAUUUCUGUCGAUGUUUACCGAUGGAUACAACAAGAGCAUAUUCAAUUGUAAAAAUUUGCCGCUAUAUACCCACACAAAUAUUUCAUCAGUGUGUCCAUAUGCAUUGAUAAUUUUUAAUAGUGUAUUCAAAGAAUUAUAUAACUUGUUUUGAUGAUGAUGAUGAUAAUGAAAAACUACACCUUUCCAUGAUUCAAAAUAAACCCUCUAUUUUUUUUUUUAAAUUUAGUUGUCUAUAUAGAAGUUGAUUACAUCUAAAACAUAUAAAUAAGUCCAAGUCUUGUAAAUUAAAAGGGAACUGGGCCGCACUACCAUAAUCGUUGAUGAAAGAUACAAAAUUAUUAAAUAUUAUGAAUCUUCUUAUCAAGCUAGAAACAACCAUUGGACUUGAAUUUAAAAUUAGAUCUAAAUACAAAGUCUAGAUCUAUAAACACACACAAAAAAAACAUAAUUUAAAACCAUGAAUAAAUAAAUAAAAAUGAUGUUAUUGCUAGUUAUUUACUAAAUGAUAGCUUUAGAAAAAACCAGGUUUAAGAUUUUUUUUUUAAGAGUCAGAAACAAAGGCGAGAGGCAUAAAAUUUUAAAAGUAUUUUUAAAAUAAAAUAAAAUAUUUUGUUAUUGUUGAAAGUUUUUUUUAUAUAUAGUAUAGAAUCGUAUAAAAGAGUUGACAUUAUUUAAAAAUAUCAAAACAUUAGCCCAAAAACAAUUAUAGUUGUUGGGUAUAUAUACAUUGUGCUUAUAAAUUUUUUUGUUUUUUGAGGUUUAGAGUUGUUUUUCCAUUGUUUAUAGUCAUAACAAGUGUUAUAUAACAUUUGAUUAUAACUUAUAACUUCAAAAUACAAUAAAAAAAUCAAUACAAGAACUUUAAUAUUUUGAUUAAAUAUUUAUCUUGUUGUUCUAAGAUUAAGGCAACAAUAACACCUAGGAGAUGAAUUAUGUGUUCCAAAGAUUUAAAUUUUAAAUUUUAAAAUAAAAAAGCUUUAAAAUUUAAGUUCUGAAAUUAAAAAGAUUUGAAAUUUGAGUAUCAAAAUAAAAUAAAAAUUUCAAAAUUGAAAUAAAAAUAAUAAUAAAUGGGAAUUUAAUGCUUAGGGUUUCAAGAUUCAAGGAGCAACAUUAUAAAUAGGUGUGAAAAAAAGAAGCUAUCUUUUGUUGUUGAUAAAAUAUUUUAUAUGAAGUUAUAUUUAAGGUAAAACCUAUGUGUAAAUGAUAACUACCUUAUGAUGAAAUGGAGUUAAGUAGAUUCAAUAAUUACUAGAAUUCAAAGAGAACAUUAGUAGUAUUUUAAAAUUCAAAAAAGAUAAAUUAUAAAUAAUAAGUAAAUUUUUAACUUUCCAUGAUAAAUAGUAAGUAAAUUCAAACCUAGGUCAUGAGACCAAAUAACCCAAUAGAAAAGAAAACUAAAACAAAUUAUUAAAUUUAAUUAUCAAUCAACCAAAUAUUGAAAAAUAAAAUUGACUGGUUAACCUAAGUUGACUCGAUUCAUUUUAUUUAUUUAUUUUAAUUGGUUUGUUUUUUUAAUUUCAUCCUUCAACAUUGAAUUUAUUAAGAAUUGAGUUUUAUAAUUUAUUUUGAAUUUGUUUUUUUAUGAGAUUAUUAUGGUCUCUUGACUCGACAUGCGGAUUAAUAGGUUAACUCGAGUUGAUUCGAAUCGAUCCUAAAUGUUAUAAUCUCAAUAUUAAAAAACAAAAUCUCAUAUUGAAUAUUUGUUUUUAGUCAAACUAUAUUUUUACCAGUCAUUUAGUUUGCCUUUAAAUCCAUCAAGUUAAUUGGGUCACACAUCAUGUCAAUCCUCAUACGUUUAAUUAUUUUUUUCAACUAAAAAUACAUUAAAAUUUUUAAAGUUACAAUUUUUUUUUAUCCAACCCCAAAAUAUCUAUUAUUUUCUAAAGGAUUGAAGAAAAGGCAUGAAGCAAACAAAUUACAAAUGAUUUAGAGGAUUUGAAAUUAUAUUUCGAUACUACUAAUUAUUGCUAUAAUAUCAUGUGACAAGCUCAAAUAAAUUUAAUGUUUUACAAAAAAAAAAAAAAAAACUAUACAAUAGAUGAAAAAAAAAGUGUAGUCAUCUCCUAUAUUAGUAAAUGUAUCAAAGUUGUGUUGUGAGUAAAAUCUUAGAUUAAUCUCGAACGAAAAAAAAACCAAUAUUAUAACUUUAUUUUUUGAUAUUAUAAAUUUUUUUAACAGAGAAAUGAAAAGCUGAUGUCUGAUUUUAAUAUAAUAAAUUAAAAUAUAUUAAUUGAUAAAUAAAUAAAAAUUAAAAAUGCUAAUUAAAAACUAAAACUAGUUCUUUUCAAUAAAAAAUAGAAGAUACGUACAAAUGAAAAUAUUUUACCUCGUAAUCAUUUCAAUUUUCAUUUGUACCAUUCUCAGCUAGCUAAUGGUAUCUCAAACGGAGGACUCAAAUUGGAAUUGGAAUAGAUAGUAGAGGGACAGACAAUGCAUGAAAGUAACAGCUGGGGGACUCAAUUAAUCAAAAUGAAAUAGUACAAGGACCACAUAUGAUUUGUAUUAGAACAGUAGCAACUCGUCCGUGGGCUGAAUGACCACUAUCUGAAUUCUUCUAUUUCUGCGUCCAGGUUCAAAAUAAUUAUAAUAAAGAUGAAUUCUACCUUCAAAUUGGUUCCCUCCUCUGUAAUACGUACCUUCAAACGUCAUCACUUUUUUUUUCAAAGUCAAAAAGAAGCAUUUAAAACUAAAAUAGCCCCCUACGCUUACCUGGUUCUCUCAUACCUACUCCAACAAUUUCUUGGUGAACAAACACAAUAACAAGUAAUCAACUGCAGAAAGAAUGGUUGCUGGGACUCCCACGAUGCCUCUUCUCACCCCAUACAAGAUGGGCAGGUUUAAUCUUUCUCACAGGUACUUGAUUACUCACGUUAUCUCCCUUUUCUUUAAUGUACAGUAUGAUUUCGUGUAUAUCCAUUUCCUUGAGUUUGCAUGGUUUGAUGUAGAUGACACGCUGUGAUCUCAGUUUGCUUUUCUGUUUUCAGCAGCAAAAUGCUGCUUUUGUAUUCAGAAUUCUUCUGUGAAGUCUUGUUGAUCAUUAAAAAUCGAUAUGUAUGACACGAAGAAAUUAGUAUAUGACCUUUCCUUUUUCUUUCUUCUUGAUUUUUCUGUUUCAUUUGAUAUGUUGGGUAAUGAAUUUGUUACAAGAUCAUCCAAAACUUUUUGGCUAUUGGGUCAAGCUUUAGGUAAUUUACCCUUUUCAUCACCAACUCAUGGCCGGGAAAUAUAAGCAUGUAAAUUCCCAGGUUAAAUAAAUAGUUAAUGCAGUGGAUAUACUGCUUUCUUUGAAAAUCAUUUUAAUUAUAACUACUUCGGUGAUUUCAUGUUUUUUUCAGAAUUGUCCUGGCACCAUUGACUAGACAGAGAUCUUACGAUAAUGUUCCUCAGCCGCAUGCCGUUCUAUACUACUCCCAGAGAGCAACAAAGGGGGUCUUCUGAUAUCUGAAGCCACUGGAGUUUCUGACACAGCACAAGGGUAAUUCAUCAGCCAUGCCUGAUGCCAUACUCAAUCAAAUUCAAUAUUAAUUUGAUCUUGUUACACUGACACUUCAGUGUGUUCAUAAUCUUACAUAUGAAUAUAUAUAGGUACCUACAUGCUCCAGGUAUUUGGACCAGAGAGCAAGUCGAAGCAUGGAAACCCAUUGUGGAUGCUGUCCAUGCCAAAGGAGGUAUUUCUUCUGUCAAAUUUGGCAUGUUGGGAGGGUGUCAAAUAGCGGUGAGUUAUUGCCUUAAUCUCUUUGAUGCAUAAAUUUUAAUUCUGGUAUGUUAAAGUUCUGUUUCCAGUAUCUGUAACAAUGAUUAAUGCUGCUUUGUUCAUGGGCUAUACUUGUUAGUUAACAUGAUUAGCAAAGUCAUUUUCAAAAAAUGAAAAGAUUAAUAUGGUUACUAAUUAAUUUUUCUAUAUUAUUGGCAUUUGCAGGUUUUCCAGCCAGAUGGGCAAGCUCCAGUCUCUUCUACAGACAAGCCAAUAUCUUCUCAACGAAGGCAUGGAGUUCACACCUCCGAGGCGUCUAAGGACAGAUGAAAUCCCUCAAAUAGUCAAUGAUUUCAGAAUUGCUGCGAGGAACGCAAUAGAAGCUGGUAAACUUUCUUUCUCAGAUAUUUUGGAAACUCUGAAUUUUAUUACAGGAUUUUAACAAGCUGAACAAUACACGAUUGCACAGCAUUUUAACAAGCUUGUUCUGCGCUUUUUAUAGGUUUUGAUGGAGUUGAGAUCCAUGGGGCUCACGGAUAUCUAAUUGACCAGUUUAUGAAAGAUCAAGCAAACAACAGAACAGACCAAUAUGGUGGAUCACUGGAGAACCGCUGCCGAUUCCCUUUGGAGAUAGUUGAGGCUAUAGCGAAUGAGAUAGGAUCAGAUAAAGUUGGAAUAAGACUGUCUCCUCAUGUAAACUAUAUGGAAUCAGAGACUCAGAUCCUGAAGCACUAGGGCUCCACAUGGUUAAAUCCUUGAAUAAAUACGGUAUUGCUUACUGCCACAUGGUUGAGCCAAGAAUGAAGAUAGGCGCAGCGAAUACAAAAUUCUCUGAAAGUCUGCUGCCUAUGAGGAAGGCUUUCAACAAUACAUUCAUUGUUGCUAGUGGUUAUGACAGGGAAGAUGGAAACAAAGCUCUUGAAGAGAACCGUGGAGACCUUGUCGCUUAUGGUCGCUUGUUCUUGGCAAAUCCAGAUUUGCCGAGGAGAUUUGAACUUGAUGCUCCUCUCAACAAGUACAACAGAGAAACAUUUUACACACAUGAUCCUGUUGUUGGUUACACUGAUUAUCCUUUCCUUGAAGCCUCUGCGUAGGGUUUUCAGUCACCGUAGUCGAAACUUGUAUUCUCUAAUUCAUUCAAUUAUUGUUUCUAUGAGUUUAAAUGUUAUAAUUCAAUAAUAAAAGUAGAUUGGAGACCAGCAAUACACAUUUCAGAUUGAACUGGAUACUAUGAAGUAAUACAGUUUUCAAUUACAAUAGAUAUUUGUAAGAAAGAUAAAAAUUUAAGUUAUAAAGAAAAAAAUAGUAUUUUUUAUCCAAAUUUUCCUUUUUGAUUCAUGUAUUUUUUUAUUUUGACAAAAAUAAAUUUUUUUUUGUUAGUAAUAUGUUUUUAUAAAUAAAAAUUAAAGGCAAUUAAAAUAAAAAUGUAUAAAAAAUCUUAAUAAUUUAAAUUAUGAAAACAAUGUAUAUUUUUCAAUCAAAACUCUUUCUAUAUUCAUGUAUUUUGUGUUUUUGAUAAAAAUGUGAUUUUUAUUAGAGGUAUAGUUUUUUAAAAAAAAAAACAAAUUAUCAUAUUUCAUAAAAAAACAAAAAAACAAUCAUGACUCAAUAAUUUUUAUACUUGUAUAAAACAAAUAGAGUAAUUAAUGUGAUGAAAUUAUAUAAAAUAUUUAAAAUAAAAAAUAAUAUUUUAUUUCCUUUUAAAUAUCCAUUAGUAUAUUAAAAACAAUUUGCGUAUUGGGUUCAUAUAGUAAUUUAUAUUCCCAUAAAAGAUCUAAUAGUAAGAUAAUGUUUUAAGUACAAUUUUAAUAAUUGUUUUUAUAUUGAACUUUAUGCUAAAUUAAAAUAAAUAAUUACAAAGAAAGUUAAAUAGCUUUUUAAAUAGAGGCUAGGGUCUUGGGCUUAGAGGACAAAUCCACACGACUAGCUUAAAAAAACAAUUAUAGGUGGAUUUAAAUUUUUUUUAUUUGUUUUUUUUAUAGAAAAAAAAUGUUAUUGAGAGCUAUUUUAAAUAAAAUUUGGGUAAAUAAUGUAUCAUCAACUAUGUAAUUUUAUGUUACCUCCAAUGAUAAAAAAAAAAAAAAAAAAGAAGUAAGGUUUAAGUUUUUAGAUUUUAGAAAUCCAAUUUUAAAUUUAUUUUAACCUAAAAUCACCCCAAAAACAUUAAAAGAUUCUUAGGAAACCAUCUUUGACCAUAAAAUACCCUUUGACCAAUUUAGAAUAAAAAAUAAAUGCAAAUAAAAAAACUUUUAUGAUUAUCGAUAUACUUUUUAUAAUUAUUUAAGGGAGAAAACAAUUUUCAUCAAAAUUUUCUCUUCGAAGUGAAUCCAUUGACACUAAAAAUAGUCUUAUUAGUAACUAGAAUGUGGGUAGCUGAAAAGUUUCUCUCUUCUUCUUUUUUAUUAAGUGACUUUCUCUCUUAUUUCUUAACAUAUAGUGAUUAAAAUACAAGGAAAAUAAAGUUUCAAAACCAAGAUGCAAACUCUUGAAACUACAUGAACUAAAUAAAUGGAAAAACAAAUUCAGGAAUACUCGAUUAACAAUUGCAACAAUUUUGAGUCUUAGGUUAUAAUAGUUAAACAAUUUUGUUUCAUCUGAUAAAAAUAAGACCUUUGAAAAUUAAUAGAAAAUAUAAAACAUGGAGUUACAACCUAGUUUUUUUAAAAAACUAAGAAUCUUAAAAUAUAGAUUGGUUCCAAAGAUCGUAGAAAGAGAUUGAUUAUACGAAAGAGAAUAUAAAAAUCACAUUUACCAUAUUCCUUUCUGAGAAGAUGUUACUUUAAUUAUGUGUUUCUCCUAUAUUAAUUUUACAUGUUAUUUACUGUCUAAAUUAUAUUCCCAGCUUAUUCACAAAUCGUUUAGUUUUUAUAGAUGCUCAUAAAGUUAAUAUGAGACCAGAAAUCACGAGUCUCGCAACUUGAUGAUUUUAUUUUUAGUUUUUAUAUAUAUUUCUUGACUUUUUUAUCAUCACUAUUUAUUAUUUAUUUUAUUACAAACAAAGUUGAAAACAAUACUAUGCUUGAUCCGCGUUGGACCCUACUCAAAGGAUACUUGGACUUACUAUUGACCUUGUUAUUAGUUUAAAACAUCAUGAUAGGCCCACGUCGACCCUAAAACUUGAAGACACGUCAACUUAACCAUUAAAAUCCAAAUUUAAGCUUAAUAAAAACUUGAUGUUAACUUGACCAAAACUCAUCAACCCAUUAUUAAACUUUUUAAGGUUAGAAAUAUCAUGUUAGGUCUAUAUCGGUCUCUAAAAACUAGAAAACACAUCAUCGAUCUAGCUGUUAGGAGUCAAAUUUAAUAAAAAAACAUUACUAUACCCAUCAACAUUAUUUUAUUUUUUGACAAAUAUUUAUAUGCUCAUAUAUAUGUAAAAAUAAAAAAAGAUGCAAUUUUAUAAAAUUAAAUAACAUCAACAUGAAAAAAAUAAAAAAGACAAGAAAGCUAAUCCACUUUAUCCUCUCUUUCUGAAAGUUCCCUCUGGGGGUCUGACCCUCCGCUACCUAAUAUUCCUAACUAAUUGAAUUCAUCAGUCUAUAAGGCUUUUUAGUCACUAUGGUCUCUUUCAUCUCGUCCCUUGACCACUUCACCUUCUUUCUUAUUUCUUCUUAUGUUGGUAAAGAUCCAAGCAAUAAGAAUUGUUAUCUUUAAAAGAGAAUAAAUCCAUCUGUCUCCUCAUUAGUCUCAGCAUCAACAGUAGUGCUACUCAUCUCCUCCAACAUAAGAAGACGAUAAUCUGGGUAGGGCGGCUUUUCAAGAAGUAGAAAGCAGUAAUUUUAUUUUAUACUUUGUUUGGCCUCAUUAAAAAAGUAAAGGGCAGGAGAGGCUGGCCUUCUUUGAUCGGAAAUGCUGCCAAAUGGUCAGAAAAAUAAAAUAACAUGUGUAUUAUUUGCAUUUAUGAAUAGUAAAUAAAAAGGAAGAAAUGAGAGAGAAGAAGUUGCUUUGCAUUAAGGACUUGACUUACCUUGAGGCUAGUUCAAAAUGAGGAAGGAGUUUCUUUGGUGACAAUAAUGGUGUGUAUCAGCAAUGGUGUGGUUCUCGUUCUCGAGUGGUCUUCUCUCUCUACUUCAGGUUUUUAUUUCUCUUAAGAUUUAGCUUUUUUUCUUUGGUUUUUUCUUCUUCUCAUUCUUUUCCCCUUGCUACUAGCCGGUUCAGAGCAUCUUUAUAUACCUUUAUUUUCAACCCAAAACUCUCUCUCUCUCUCUCUCUCUCUCUAGGUUUAAGCUUUCCUUUCUCUCUAUUUUCUUCUUCUUCUUGUUCCUCUAAUACCAUUUGGAUUAGAUUAAAUUCUUUUUUAUUAGCUCAAACUCUCAUUUAUCAAUGAACUUAAAUUUGUCGGUAAUUCUAUCUAUAAAAAUGACAUGUCAUAUUACUUGUUAGGUUUUUUUUUCAUUGUAAUUCUCUUAAUAUAUACCAAGGUAAUAUUUCUGUCGAUGUUUACCGAUGGAUACAACAAGAGCAUAUUCAAUUGUAAAAAUUUGCCGCUAUAUACCCACACAAAUAUUUCAUCAGUGUGUCCAUAUGCAUUUGAUAAUUUUUUAAUAGUGUAUUCAAAAAUUAUAUAACUUGUUUUGAUGAUGAUGAUGAUAAUGAAAAACUACACCUUUCCAUGAUUCAAAAUAAAACCCUCUAUUUUUUUUUUAAAUUUUAGUUGUCUAUAUAGAAGUUGAUUACAUCUAAAACAUAUAAAUAAGUCCAAGUCUUUGUAAAUUAAAAGGGAACUGGGCCGCACUACCAUAAUCGUUGAUGAAAGAUACAAAAUUAUUAAAUAUUAUGAAUCUUCUUUAUCAAGCUAGAAACAACCAUUGGACUUGAAUUUAAAAUUAGAUCUAAAUACAAAGUCUAGAUCUAUAAACACACACAAAAAAAACAUAAUUUAAAACCAUGAAUAAAUAAAUAAAAAUGAUGUUAUUGCUAGUUAUUUACUAAAUGAUAGCUUUAGAAAAAACCAGGUUUUAAGAUUUUUUUUUUUAAGAGUCAGAAACAAAGGCGAGAGGCAUAUAAAUUUUAAAAGUAUUUUUAAAAUAAAAUAAAAUAUUUUGUUAUUGUUGAAAGUUUUUUUUAUAUAUAGUAUAGAAUCGUAUAAAAGAGUUGACAUUAUUUAAAAAUAUCAAAACAUUAGCCCAAAAACAAUUAUAGUUGUUGGGUAUAUAUACAUUGUGCUUAUAAAUUUUUUUGUUUUUUGAGGUUUAGAGUUGUUUUCCAUUGUUUAUAGUCAUAACAAGUGUUAUAUAACAUUUGAUUAUAACUUAUAACUUCAAAAUACAAUAAAGAAAUCAAUACAAGAACUUUAAUAUUUUGAUUAGAUAUUUAUCUUGUUGUUCUAAGAUUAAGGCAACAAUAACACCUAGGAGAUGAAUUAGGUGUUCCAAAGAUUUAAAUUUUAAAUUUUAAAAUAAAAAAGCUUUAAAAUUUAAGUUCUGAAAUUAAAAGGAUUUGAAAUUUGAGUAUCAAAAUAAAAAAAAGUUUCAAAAUUGAAAUAAAAAUAAUAAUAAAUGGGAAUUUAAUGCUUAGGGUUUCAAGAUUCAAGGAGCAACAUUAUAAAUAGGUGUGAAAAAAAGAAGCUAUCUUUUUGUUGUUGAUAAAAUAUUUUAUAUGAAGUUAUAUUUAAGGUAAAACCUAUGUGUAAAUGAUAACUACCUUAUGAUGAAAUGGAGUUAAGUAGAUUCAAUAAUUACUAGAAUUCAAAGAGAACAUUAGUAGUAUUUUAAAAUUCAAAAAAGAUAAAUUAUAAAUAAUAAGUAAAUUUUUUAACUUUCCAUGAUAAAUAGUAAGUAAAUUCAUAACCUAGGUCAUGAGACCAAAUAACCCAAUAGAAAAGAAACUAAAACAAAUUAUUAAAUUUAAUUAUCAAUCAACCAAAUAUUGAAAAAUAAAAUUGACUGGUUAACCUAAGUUGACUCGAUUCAUUUUAUUAUUUAUUUUUUAAUUGGUUUGUUUUUUAAUUUCAUCCUUCAACAUUGAAUUUAUUAAGAAUUGAUUUUUAUAAUUUAUUUUGAAUUUGUUUUUUAUGAGAUUAUUAUGGUCUCUUGACUCGACAUGCGGAUUAAUAGGUUAACUCGAGUUGAUUCGAAUCGAUCCUAAAUGUUAUAAUCUCAAUAUUAAAAAACAAAAUCUCAUAUUGAAUAUUUGUUUUUAGUCAAACUAUAUUUUUACCAGUCAUUUAGUUUGCCUUUAAAUCCAUCAAGUUAAUUGGGUCACACAUCAUGUCAAUCCUCAUACGUUUAAUUAUUUUUUUCAACUAAAAAUACAUUAAAAUUUUUAAAGUUACAAUUUUUUUUUAUCCAACCCCAAAAUAUCUAUUAUUUUCUAAAGGAUUGAAGAAAAGGCAUGAAGCAAACAAAUUACAAAUGAUUUAGAGGAUUUGAAAUUAUAUUUCGAUACUACUAAUUAUUGCUAUAAUAUCAUGUGACAAGCUCAAAUAAAUUUAAUGUUUUACAAAAAAAAAAAAAACUAUACAAUAGAUGAAAAAAAAAGUGUAGUCAUCUCCUAUAUUAGUAAAUGUAUCAAAGUUGUGUUGUGAGUAAAAUCUUAGAUUAAUCUCGAACGAAAAAAAAACCAAUAUUAUAACUUUAUUUUUUGAUAUUAUAAAUUUUUUUAACAGAGAAAUGAAAAGCUGAUGUCUGAUUUUAAUAUAAUAAAUUAAAAAUAUAUUAAUUGAUAAAUUAAAAAAUUAAAAAUGCUAAUUAAAAACUAAAACUAGUUCUUUUCAAUAAAAAAUAGAAGAUACGUACAAAUGAAAAUAUUUUACCUCGUAAUCAUUUCAAUUUUCAUUUGUACCAUUCUCAGCUAGCUAAUGGUAUCUCAAACGGAGGACUCAAAUUGGAAUUGGAAUAGAUAGUAGAGGGACAGACAAUGCAUGAAAGUAACAGCUGGGGGACUCAAUUAAUCAAAAUGAAAUAGUACAAGGACCACAUAUGAUUUGUAUUAGAACAGUAGCAACUCGUCCGUGGGCUGAAUGACCACUAUCUGAAUUCUUCUAUUUCUGCGUCCAGGUUCAAAAUAAUUAUAAUAAAGAUGAAUUCUACCUUCAAAUUGGUUCCCUCCUCUGUAAUACGUACCUUCAAACGUCAUCACUUUUUUUUUCAAAGUCAAAAAGAAGCAUUUAAAACUAUAAAUAGCCCCCUACGCUUACCUGGUUCUCUCAUACCUACUCCAACAAUUUCUUGGUGAACAAACACAAUAACAAGUAAUCAACUGCAAGAAAGAAUGGUUGCUGGGACUCCCACGAUGCCUCUUCUCACCCCAUACAAGAUGGGCAGGUUUAAUCUUUCUCACAGGUACUUGAUUACUCACGUUAUCUCCCUUUUCUUUAAUGUACAGUAUGAUUUCGUGUAUAUCCAUUUCCUUGAGUUUGCAUGGUUUGAUGUAGAUGACACGCUGUGAUCUCAGUUUGCUUUUCUGUUUUCAGCAGCAAAAUGCUGCUUUUGUAUUCAGAAUUCUUCUGUGAAGUCUUGUUGAUCAUUAAAAAUCGAUAUGUAUGACACGAAGAAAUUAGUAUAUGACCUUUCCUUUUUCUUUCUUCUUGAUUUUUCUGUUUCAUUUGAUAUGUUGGGUAAUGAAUUUGUUACAAGAUCAUCCAAAACUUUUUGGCUAUUGGGUCAAGCUUUAGGUAAUUUACCCUUUUCAUCACCAACUCAUGGCCGGGAAAUAUAAGCAUGUAAAUUCCCAGGUUAAAUAAAUAGUUAAUGCAGUGGAUAUACUGCUUUCUUUGAAAAUCAUUUUAAUUAUAACUACUUCGGUGAUUUCAUGUUUUUUUCAGAAUUGUCCUGGCACCAUUGACUAGACAGAGAUCUUACGAUAAUGUUCCUCAGCCGCAUGCCGUUCUAUACUACUCCCAGAGAGCAACAAAGGGGGGUCUUCUGAUAUCUGAAGCCACUGGAGUUUCUGACACAGCACAAGGGUAAAUUCAUCAGCCAUGCCUGAUGCCAUACUCAAUCAAAUUCAAUAUUAAUUUGAUCUUGUUACACUGACACUUCAGUGUGUUCAUAAUCUUACAUAUGAAUAUAUAUAUAUAUAGGUACCUACAUGCUCCAGGUAUUUGGACCAGAGAGCAAGUCGAAGCAUGGAAACCCAUUGUGGAUGCUGUCCAUGCCAAAGGAGGUAUUUUCUUCUGUCAAAUUUGGCAUGUUGGGAGGGUGUCAAAUAGCGGUGAGUUAUUGCCUUUAAUCUCUUUGAUGCAUAACUUUUAAUUCUGUUCCUAGUAUUUUAAAGUUCUGUUUCCAGUAUCUGUAACAAUGAUUAAUGCUGCCUUGUGUUCAUGGGCUAUACUUUCUUGUUAGUUAAUAUGAUUAGCAAAGUCAUUUUCAAAAAAUGAAAACAUUAAUAUGGUUACUAAUUAAUUUUUCUAUAUUAUUGGCAUUUGCAGGUUUCCAGCCAGAUGGGCAAGCUCCGGUCUCUUCUACCGACAAGCCAAUAUCUUCUCAAGUUGAAGGCAUGGAGUUCACACCUCCGAGGCGUCUAAGGACAGAUGAAAUCCCUCAAAUAGUCAAUGAUUUCAGAAUUGCUGCGAGGAACGCAUUAGAAGCUGGUAAACUUUCUUUCUCAGAUAUUUUGGAAACUCUGAAUUUUAUUACAGGAUUUUAACAAGCUGAACAAUACACGAUUGCACAGUAUUUUAACAAUCUUGUUCUGCGCUUUUUAUAGGUUUUGAUGGAGUUGAGAUCCAUGGGGCUCACGGAUAUCUAAUUGACCAGUUUAUGAAAGAUCAAGCAAACAACAGAACAGACCAAUAUGGUGGAUCACUGGAGAACCGUUGCCGAUUCCCUUUGGAGAUAGUUGAGGCUAUAGCGAAUGAGAUAGGAUCAGAUAAAGUUGGAAUAAGACUGUCUCCUCAUGUAAACUAUAUGGAAUCAGAAGACUCAGAUCCUGAAGCACUAGGGCUCCACAUGGUUAAAUCCUUGAAUAAAUACGGUAUUGCUUACUGCCACAUGGUUGAGCCAAGAAUGAAGAUAGGCGCAGGGAAUACAAAAUUCUCUGAAAGUCUGCUGCCUAUGAGGAAGGCUUUCAACAAUACAUUCAUUGUUGCUGGUGGUUAUGACAGGGAAGAUGGAAACAAAGCUCUUGAAGAGAACCGUGCAGACCUUGUCGCUUAUGGUCGCUUGUUCUUGGCAAAUCCAGAUUUGCCGAGGAGAUUUGAACUUGAUGCUCCUCUCAACAAGUACAACAGAGAAACAUUU
rnacentral:lncRNA from 1 species